UACGUAGGGGGCAAGCGUUGUCCGGAUUCAUUGGGCGUAAAGAGCGUGUAGGCGGCCUGAAAGGUCAGCUGUGAAAACUCGAGGCUCAACCUCGAGACGUCGGUUGAAACCAUCUGGCUAGAGUCCGGAAGAGGAGUGUGGAAUUCCCGGUGUAGAGGUGAAAUUCGUAGAUAUCGGGAGGAACACCGGUGGCGAAGGCGGCGAUCUGGGUAGAUACUGACGCUGAGGUGCGAAAGCGUGGGGAGCAAACAGG
rnacentral:rRNA from 1 species